AAGCAAGCACACCAAGAUCUGUAUCCACAGAGAGUAAUGAUGAAUAUCAAGAUCUUGUAUUUAAGUGAAGCAUUUCUUUUAUCAAAGCCUGAAUUGUGAGUUAGAGAGAUAGAUAGACAAUAUAUUUUUAACUAUAAAAUAUAAAACAUAUACGUAUGUAUAACUGGGGUGCAGAGUAAGAAGAAAAAAAUACAAGAAACACUGAUAAAUGUAAUUCUCUAGGACAAUAUUGUGAACUUUACAACUGAAAUAUAUGGGGAUAUAUUAAUAAAGUUCUUAGUACUUCUAAAUUGAGCAAAGAAAAUAUCCAUCCAAUUUACAGACAUAUGUAUCACAUGUACUCAACUCAAUGGAUGGAGACCUUACAAAGUGACCAGAUACUCAAGGGAGAUGUCAUUAAAAAAAAAAAAAGUUGAUGGAGAACAAGGUGUUCAUAUAUAGUUGCCUUACUGAGAAUGUGGGUCACAGUCUAGAGAGAUUUCAAAGGUAAUGUGAUAAUACUGCAUAUCUACCCAAGGGCAACCAGUGGAAAUGUUCUGACUCAAAAAUAACUCAGUGUUUGAGAAUUCUGAGAGGACAUUCACUACAUCUCCAUCCAGAGAAAUUGGGAAGGAGGCAUGAGUUAGUCUGUUUCAAGAUUUCAACAGAUUAAACUUAGGAUGUUAUGAAUUUAUUGUUGAAAAUCUUAAAUCUCAUCACUAAUUGAAUUUCACGAAAAUGAAGAACUUCAGGGAAAGCUGAUAUUUAUCUGUUAGGCAGAAAUCUGUUAAGCUCAAUUAAACAUGAUUUUAAGAAGAUGUUCUUGCCAUCUCUGUGUAUAGACCAAGGCUAUAAAACUCAAUUACAUGUUAAGUAAUAAUGCUAUCACUUUCUGGUGAUCAGAAAUGAUCAUGAUGACAUUCAAAAAUGGCAUAUUGGAUAUCUGCCACUUCAACAAUCCUAUAACAGCAUAACAGCAAGCUCUGCAUAGCUGAAGAUUUCCUAACCUCCUCUCUUGCUUUUACCCAAUAAUGGAUAAAUAAAGUUUCACACAAAUAAAGGAACUUGGAAACUCCCUUCGCCUUUUAUGACAGAAUCUGACCUAAGCAUUCAUUUGUGAACUCAAGAAGUGAAGUGGAAAUGACAAAAUUAUUCUAGUUAUUACUCCUUGGAAAUCAUAUAAGGUCAUUCUGUAAUAUGAACCUAUAUGGUGUGGGAAAUGAAGAAUAAAAGAAUUUUUUUUUUUCAGAAAACAACCCGUAGUGUGAACUGUGUUAAAGGAAACUAUACAAGACACAAAAGAAAAAAGGAAAAAAAAAUCUGAUUCAGAAAGGAAAAUAUUGCUAAUAUGGGUAGGAAGGUGACAAAGAGAAAAGGCAAUAAUGUAAAUCAUAUUUUUUUGGUAGUACUUCACUUAGAUGAUGAGGUAGAGGUUCAAAUGUGGAACCUGAGAUUUCUUUCUGGCAGUUAAUAUGCCAAUCAUGCAGACCACCCCUCUAAAACAGAACCACAUUAUGAUUUAUAACUUGUGGGUAAAGAGAAUAGAUUACCUCCCUUAGCCUGUUAGAAGAGCCAAGACAAGCCAUGCAAAGGAGAAGCAAGUCUCCAGGAAAAGGAGUUGGAAGAAGCUAUCUACCACAGACUGUCACUUUGGGCCACUGGAAAUACACAUACAUGCCCAGGAUGUGCGUAGAAGCUCUGGGGAAGUUGGAGAGAUUAACCCUGAGAACUGCUGACCAGAGAAGAUUUCAAAGGCAAGGAGCAGUGAGAGAGAGCCACAAACCAAUCAGAGUGAAAAGAGAUGUGUGAACAGAGGAACAGGGGCAUAUAAAGACUAAGAGUUUGGGGCUUCUGUCUCUACAGUCUGUUCUAGCAGAUUUCCAUCAAUCUGGGAAGGUAUUUACAACUCCAAGAGGACAAGAGGGGUCAGCGGCAUUCGGCAGCUUCUCUGGUGACCAGCUACGUCAUUUGGCAGCAGGCUAAACUGCUUGCAAUUGCAUAGAGCAAAGAGCAUGCUGAACAGUGAUGUUCCAGUUUAAAAGGACAGAGCUGCAAACAAAGGGCCUUCCAUAAUCUCAAACUUCUCAGCUGUAGAAGCAAUAGCAGCAGAAGGAAUUAUUGAACGUGGCAUCUACAUAUGAUGAGAGAAUAAAAAGGGAAAAAGAAAACCCAACAGUUUGCAAUCUCGGGGUGAGUAAAUAGAAACCUGGUAAGGAAAAGGGAACAGAAAAGACGUGAAAACCAAUGCAAAUGAAUAUAAAGCAUGUAUUCCUAGCUAUAUGGAAACAUAGAAAUAACUUUAAAAGGGUAUCUCAUUUGAACAAAUGCCUGGCGCCUCCUUGACCAUCUCCCGUAGUAGGGCAUUCCAUGUCUUUUUAAGCAUCUCACUCCAUGUCUAGGGACUAGCUGGUAAUAGGAGAAAAAAAUAGUUUCUUUAUUCUAACCCUAGUUGGGAUCCUGGCUCCAUCACUUAACAGUUUUGAACUUUGGAGGUAAAAUAAAAACAAUGUAUCAAUGGACAUCAUAAUAGUACCAAUUUCAUGGCGUUGUCGUAGGGAUUAAAUGAGAUCAUACAUAUAAUUCUAUAACACCAUGCUUGGUUCAUAACUAACACAAAUUGAACUAAUUAAGUAUUCAAUUGGCUUUAUUAUGAUUAUUGAGCAGGACUGUCUGCAUUCUAAUCCUGGCUCCAACAUCCUAAUCUGGAACAAGUGACUUUAUUUCUCAGUACUUUAUUGCCUACUCUAUCAAAUGGGGAUUCUAGUAGGGUCUGUCUCAUGAGGUUGAUGAGAGAAUUAGACAAGCUGAUAAAGGUAAAGCUCUUAGAAUAGAGCCUUGCAUUUAGUGGGGGUCCAUUCAAUGUUAGUCAUUGUUGAUGAAAGGCUUCUUCCUGACCAAUUGCUCCUUUUAUCACUCUUCUUGCUCAAUGAGUGCUCCUCCCAAGCAGUGCCCCGUGCCCUUUCUAGCUCUCUCUCUCUUUUGGAGGAUGUAAUUGAAGCCAAGAUAGUGGGUUUAAUCUUCCAGGGGCCAUGAAGGAUCCCUUUGCUCAUGUGAGAGUAGAUGAGAUUAAAUCUAUUUCCAGGGUCAGCUAGAGGAACAAGCCACAGAGGUGGCCCAAGGGAAAGGUAGGUCAGUAGAUUCAGUGUGGAAUAGAAAGAACAUGAAGUACUCUGAGACGUGGAAGCCCGGCAUAGGGAUGAGACAAUGUGGUUUGUUUGGGAGCCUGGCAACGUGGCAGAUAGUGCAAAUGGCUCUGACCUGGGGAGCUUACUGUGCCAGGAGCCGCUUGCCUUUCAUAAGCGUGAAAUCCACUUAGGUAACCUUUGGUACAUACCCUUCUGAAUCCACAGCUUGUUCUUUACAAGUUUUUGGCAAAAAGUAGUGUUCACUGGUCACACCCAUUCUAUUCUAUAUUUAUUCUCAGUGUGCAAGACUAAUGAGAUAAUCAUGCCCCAGGGCUUAACUGGUUGAAAUCUGUAAAUCUCCUAAAAGUGUAAUUACCUAUUCAUAAUCCUUCUUUCCCAUAUUGCGUAAAUCUCAUUAGUACAUUUUUUUAUUAUUCAUGUUAUGGAAAAAAUUGCUUUUUUGCCAUUGAAAGAACAGUUGGCAGAGAGAGAGAACCAGGUGUUUUGUUUGAGCUGUUUGGUUUAAUCUCUGUGAUCAAAUUAACCCAUUUAUGCUGGAGGUUGCAAAUUUUUUUGUGUGUGAAAAAUCAGACCUUGGCGAUGACCUUGAGCAGUA